AAACGACUCUCGGCAACGGAUAUCUCGGCUCUCGCAUCGAUGAAGAACGUAGCGAAAUGCGAUACUUGGUGUGAAUUGCAGAAUCCCGUGAACCAUCGAGUCUUUGAACGCAAGUUGCGCCCGAAGCCAUCUGGCCGAGGGCACGUCUGCCUGGGCGUCAAUCA
rnacentral:rRNA from 1 species